UGGGUAACCUGCCUCAAAGAGGGGAAUAGCCUCCCGAAAGGGAGAUUAAUACCGCAUAAUACGUUUAGGUCGCAUGACUUUAACAUCAAAGGAUUUCUUUUAGAAAUUCCACUUUGAGAUGGACCCGCGGCGCAUUAGCUAGUUGGUGAGGUAACGGCUCACCAAGGCAACGAUGCGUAGCCGACCUGAGAGGGUGAUCGGCCACAUUGGAACUGAGACACGGCCCAGACUCCUACGGGAGCAG
rnacentral:rRNA from 1 species